ACACAGCAUUGCUUCCUUGGAAACCGUGGAAAAACAUCUUUGAGGGAGCAAGAGAGAGCAGCAGGGAGCUGGAUUUAAAUAGCAGAGGAAUUUCACUGAUCCCUAAGCAGGAGGGGACACCUGCUGAUAACAGCUAUUGAAUGUCCCUGCAUGGCUGAUAAGAACUACAGCAUCCCACUGGGAGAUGGGAGCCCAGAGGGAGGAGCCAAGCAUUCCUACCCGGAUAGAAUCUGGAGAUUCUGCAACACCAGCACGGCUUCUGCACUGGAUUGCCCAGAGGAACAGCAGCUGCCUCUGCCCCUGGAUCUUCAGAGGCAGAGACUGCACCUUUCUCCAGGAUCCCUGCUCCAGCAGAACCAGCCCUGACACUGCAGGAGGGCUGAGCCACAAUUCCAAUGGCACUGCUGCCAACAGCCUGACCCACAGGGUGUCAGGUUGGGUUCUGACUCUGCCAGUGUUGGUUUUGUUCACUGCAUUGUUUAUUUUAUCCUUUUAUUUUUUUCCCUUCUGUAUUAAAGGGCUGUUAUUUCCUGCUCCCA